CAGGGUACUCGAGUGGCGAACGGGUGAGUAACACGUGGGUGAUCUGCCCUGCACUUCGGGAUAAGCUUGGGAAACUGGGUCUAAUACCGGAUAGGAGCCAUCUUUAGUGUGGUGGUUGGAAAGUUUUUUCGGUGUAGGAUGAGCUCGCGGCCUAUCAGCUUGUUGGUGGGGUAAUGGCCUACCAAGGCGGCGACGGGUAGCCGGCCUGAGAGGGUGUACGGCCACAUUGGGACUGAGAUACGGCCCAA
rnacentral:rRNA from 1 species